rnacentral:rRNA from 1 species
AGAGUUUGAUCCUGGCUCAGAACGAACGCUGGUGGCGUGUUUUAUACAUGCAAGUCGAGCGAGGACAGUAGCUUGCUACUGAGCCGAGCGGCGAACGGGUGAGUAACGCGUAAGCAAUCUGCCCCAUAGUCGGGAAUAACUGUUCUAAAGGACAGCUAAUGCCGGAUAUUGAAUUUAGUUGCAUAACUAGAUAUCAAAAGAUUUAUUGCUAUGGGAUGAGCUUGCGUCUGAUUAGCUAGUUGGUAGGGUAACUGCCUACCAAGGCAACGAUCAGUAGCCGGCCUGAGAGGGUGAUCGGCCACAUUGGGACUGAGAUACGGCCCAGACUCCUACGGGAGGCAGCAGUAGGGAAUAUUGCACAAUGGGGGAAACCCUGAUGCAGCAACGCCACGUGUGGGAAGACGCAUUUCGGUGUGUAAACCACUGUCGAUAGGGAAUAAUUAUGGAUUUCGGUCCAGUUGAAUGUACCUAUAAAGGAAGCACCGGCAAACUUCGUGCCAGCAGCCGCGGUAAUACGAGGGGUGCAAGCGUUGUUCGGAAUUACUGGGCGUAAAGGGAGCGUAGGCGGAUAAUCAAGUUGGCAGUUUAAUCCCGAGGCCCAACCUCGGACUUGCUGUCAAAACUGAUUAUCUUGAAUCAUUCAGAGGCAGAUGGAAUUUCAGGUGUAGCGGUGGAAUGCGUAGAUAUCUGAAAGAACACCAAUGGCGAAGGCAGUCUGCUGGGGAUGUAUUGACGCUGAGGCUCGAAAGCGUGGGUAGCAAACAGGAUUAGAUACCCUGGUAGUCCACGCAGUAAACGAUGUGUACUAGGUGUCAGUAGCAAUACUGGUACCGCAGCUAACGCUUUAAGUACACCGCCUGGGUAGUACGCUCGCCAGAGUGAAACUCAAAAGGAAUUGAACGGGGGCCCGCCACAAGCGGUGGGGGCAUGUUGUUUUAUUUUCGAAGCAACGCGCCAGAACCUUUACCAGGGGUUUUGACAUUGGAA